UACAGAGGGUGCAAGCGUUGUUCGGAAUUAUUGGGCGUAAAGGGCGCGUAGGCGGUGCGGUAAGUCCGCUGUGAAAUCUCUGGGCUCAACUCAGAGUCUGCUGUGGAAACUGCCGUGCUUGAGUGUGGGAGAGGUGAGUGGAAUUCCCGGUGUAGCGGUGAAAUGCGUAGAUAUCGAGAGGAACACCUGUGGCGAAAGCGGCUCACUGGACCGCAACUGACGCUGAUGCGCGAAAGCUAGGGGAGCAAACAGG
rnacentral:rRNA from 1 species